rnacentral:rRNA from 1 species
UACAGAGGGUGCGAGCGUUAAUCGGAAUUACUGGGCGUAAAGCGUGCGCAGGCGGUUUUGUAAGCCAGAUGUGAAAUCCCCGGGCUUAACCUGGGAAUGGCAUUUGGGACUGCAAGGCUGGAGUUUGGCAGAGGAGACUGGAAUUCCUGGUGUAGCAGUGAAAUGCGUAGAUAUCAGGAGGAAUACCGAUGGCGAAGGCAGGUCUCUGGGCUGAAACUGACGCUCAUGCACGAAAGCGUGGGGAGCAAACAGG